CCGGUACCUUAGAACUAUGUGAGAGCAAUUGCAAAGGAAUACAAUUACCAGGAGUGGAAAAAAUAUUUUACUUUCUGGGACCGCAAGAGAACAUUGAACAUUUUCUGUAAAUAGUCAAGUAAAUGGACAUUUGGACACUGUAAUUGUGUGACACCAACAAGUUGUCAAACUGGAUGUCAUGCUAUAUUUCACAGGAAAAAAUAUUUCACUGGAAAUAAUAUUUCACUAAGAAUCUUAAAAUAUAACAUAAAACUGACAUGCAUCAAGGGUC
rnacentral:lncRNA from 1 species